GAGUUUGAUCGUGGCUCAGAGUGAACGCUGGCGGCAGGCCUAACACAUGCAAGUCGAACGGCAGCGCAGCAGUAGCAAUACUGUGGGCGGCGAGUGGCGAACGGGUGAGUAACACGUGAGCAACCUGCCCUUGACUCUGGAAUAACAGCUGGAAACAGCUGCUAAUACCGGAUAUGACCUCUUACGACAUCGUACGGAGGUGGAAAGCUCCGGCGGUCAAGGAUGGGCUCGCGGCCUAUCAGCUAGUUGGUGGGGUAAUGGCCUACCAAGGCUUCGACGGGUAGCCGGCCUGAGAGGGCGACCGGCCACACUGGGACUGAGAUACGGCCCAGACUCCUACGGGAGGCAGCAGUGGGGAAUAUUGCACAAUGGGCGCAAGCCUGAUGCAGCAACGCCGCGUGCGGGAUGACGGCC
rnacentral:rRNA from 1 species